AUGACUUCUCGUAGUGAGGUGUUGUCUAUUUAUAAGCGUUUUGCUGCCAUGGUUCAUACUCAGUUCUCUUCAUCCAUUCGUGUUUUUCGUGCUGACUCCGCUGGCGAGUACAUCUCUAAGAUGUUGCGUGGUGUUCUUGCUGAGCAAGGAACUCUCUCUCAAUUCUCUUGUCCUGGUGCUCAUGCUCAGAAUGGUGUGGCUGAGCGAAAGCAUCGACAUCUUCUUGAGACGGCUCGUGCAUUGAUGAUUGCUGCCUCUCUCCCGCCUCAUUUUUGGGCUGAGGCCGUCUCCACCUCCACCUAUCUUAUCAAUAUACAGCCUUCCGCUGCUCUACAGGGUGGCGUUCCUUUCGAGCGUCUUUUUGAUCGUUCUCCCGAUUAUUCGAUGCUUCGCUUGUUUGGUUGUGUUUGCUAUGUUCUUCUUGCCCCUCGCGAACGCACCAAACUGACCGCUCAGUCUGUUGAGUGUCUUCUUAGGCUACAGUGA
rnacentral:rRNA from 1 species